AUGCCUGUUCAAGUCGUCUUUCGAGUCCAAUCUGCGCGGCGGACGUAGGGUGUUGCCGUGCUGGAAAUCGCCGUUGGGUGGAACGGAGUCUUGGCUCUUUGGUGACAGGACAGGACAGGAGGAGGAAAUGGUCGUGGAUGACGUUCUUGGCUCUGGAUCAUCGGUCUUUGCCGGUAACGGAUUUGGGAAGCAGGGACCGAGUCUUCAUGCACACUGCGAGGAGUAAUUGAUGAGAAGUUCUCGGUUCAGGGCAUCGAUUGGAUCUUGGAGAACGAAGAUCCAUCUGUGUACUUCUGGAGGCCGUAGAUCAAAGUUGAAAACCACCAAGGAUCAGAGUCUUGCAAGAGUCAUGGUGGCACAUUUUGUGGUUGUAAUGAAAAAACUAAGUGAAGUUGGACUUGAGAAGAUAUAGGUUCUAAUUUGAAUCAGAAAGCAGCCACCGAGAGGGGGCAGUUGCUGUAAGAUGAUUCGAACUUCAUUUGCUGGGUAAGAAUGAAGUGCAUCAUCAAAUUUCUCAAAGGAGUGAGAAUAGCAUGGAUAAGGGCCCCCAGUAGAACAGGAGACAUUCCUUUGUCUUAUUCUGAGCUGCUUUGCCUCUGUAGACUUUAGUACUCUUCUGGAUUACCUCUUUCUACUGGAACUCUUUGUAUAGGAUUUUCAACAGAUGUCUGUUCUGACUACAGGGGUGGUGUAAGCAUUCUUGGAGGACAUCUAAGUGGCUCACUUAAAGUUACUCCCAUAAAGAAAAGGAGAUUUCUACUCGCUCAUUCUCCAUCAUCUCCACUAUCUUAUUCAGAUGAUUCUGAUCAUCUAUCAGACACAGCCAGCCUGCUUCAUACCAGGAGCAUUUAUCAUAUGAUAAACUUCAUGACAAAAGAUUUGCUGCAGAUUUCUCUGGUAUUUUGAUAUUUGCCACUGUUGCCUGAAAUAGUGAAAUGGUGGGUGCCACUAUGAUUAAAGGGGACGUGGAUAUGGAUAAAAUUUCUUAUAAACAAAUGUCCUUACGGAAAUUGUAAGGUCCCAAUGGAAACUUCUUCAUUUAUGCAUGCUGAAGAUGAAAUUACAUUUGGUGGAUCCCAGAAUGGAAAAAAAAACUCCACUUACUGAUAUCAGCAAAAUGUUUCUGAUGAAAAAAAGGCCUUCAUCUUACUCGGCGUCACUAGGACCUUGAUGCUGAUACGGAUGCAUGAAAUAAUCUGAUCUCUGUGCCAGUGGCCACUGAUCUUGUAGUUGGAAAUAACAAUCCCAAUGAGAAGCUGGAAGACCUCGAAAUUUGUCAGUUUCACUUAAGAGAAUGCAGCACGUCCUUCAAAGUUUGGUGAUAGCUUGCAAAUGUGGCUGGCACAGUCAUUGCUAAUGAGGUAUCAGAAAAACCUGAUAGAUGUACCUGUAAUUCUGCAGUUGAAAGUUGAUAACAACAAUUAUGUUGGUUCCAGAACCCCUAUUUCUACUCCAUUUCUCAUGGCUGUGGCAAAAACCGGUGCCAUUUUGAUAGAUGGUGACAUGGACACUCGGCAACUAGCAAAAUCUACAUGGAUAGUUGUGCAAGCUUCCAUCACAACCAUGAUGCAGAUGCACCACAAGUUGGUACUGGCCAACCCACAAAACUAGAGAUGAUGCAUCAGGUUGGUAGAUUUACAGUAUGUAUUAUAUGUUGGUGGGAGAAGAUGGAGUUAACAAGGAGGAAUUUGAAAAUGCAGAUAUGGGUCUAGCAGCCAAGAAAAUGAUAUCUUUGAAAAUGAUGUCUUUGAAGCGGUUUCUGGUUUACAUGCUUUUGCUGCCUUUUCCAUUAAGAAAAUGGUAUGCAAAAAGAGGAAAUUGUUGGUUGCUGAUGUGGCAAAUGCUCGGAAGGCUAGGCAGGUUUUUGUUUCUCAAUCCCCAUCAAAGUACUUAUCCGAAUCAGACAGUCCAAAUAAAGGACAAGGACAAGGACAGAGAGCCUCUGGAGAUGUAGGUAUACUGGAUCAUGCAAAUUAUUUGGCAUUAAAUGGCAACAAAGAAGUGUAAAUGAAGCAUAUGUGGUGCCGGUAGAAAUAAUGCGAUGAGAAACAUUUGGUUUAAUGAUGAAGAUGAUAACAAACCUUUAGCAAGUGUCAGAAUCAAAUCAUCGGGAUGGGAUCGGUUGCUUGAAGGCUGUAGGAGAUAGCUUGUUGGAUCAUGGGAUUGGCAGUGUUAAACAAGAGAACGAUGCUGAUUCUUUAGAUGUGUAUUGUGCUGAUGAAACCAUGAUAAGAUCUGGCUUGGUCAUCUAAGGGAGAUUUAUCAGCUCGAGUCAAGAGGCCAAAAUAUUCUAAUCUCACAUUAAGCAGGUCUAGUGAUCAUGAUGGUCUAGAUGCAAAAGCUGAAGGUAGUACUGUUGCUCCUAAAUUAUCUGGAAGGCAGUGAAUCUCUGUGGCAUAACCAACGGAUGUUCAGAGAUGAUCAAUGGUUUGAUUCUCCCAGUCGCCCCGCUGCCAGGCAUCAUGAAUGACCGGCUCACAGUGAUGCAACCAGUUAUGCUUGAAGUGCAUUUCGAACAUAAUCAAUCACAGAUCGUCUGAGCCUGCUCUGUUUAUCAGAAAUCUGGCAUUGCCUUGGUCAUGAUCUGAGGUUAUCACUGUACUCCUGGGGCACCGGAAAGAGGUAAGAUUUCCAAAGAUGAAGCCUGUGGCUUCACACUAACAAAAAUGGGGGUAUUCUUCUGCUGGUGGUAGAACACCUUCUUCCUUCCACAUUUCAAGUCCUUUUGGCAUCUCUCUGCGUAUGAGCAUCGAGAUGGAGCUUAAGAUGCGAUUGCAAAGGAUCGGGCGAGAGAAGAUAUUACAGAUGGAUAAGUUGAUAUGAUGCUUCUGGCCGGUGUAGGUUGUUUGGAAUCUGGUCGCAGUAAAGCCUUUAUAAUAAAUGUCAGGGAGGCUGUGGCAAAGUAAAUAGCAACCAUGCCCAUUAAAGUUUCAUGACUCCUCCGGGAAUCUUGGCUCUCAAUCACCUGGGGCUGCUCCACUUCAAGAAAGUUGUCAUCACUCUUUUCCGCCUCACCUGGCAGAGGGGGAAAAGAAUUACUAUGAUUCAGGAAUCCAAAUAAUUACUUACAGAUUUCGAUCCCAUCAUCAACGAUUUCUACAAGCUGGUGUUGGUGUGAUUCUGAAGACAAGAAUCGUGAAGGUUAGUUAUACCGGCAAGAACAGAAAUAUUUAUUACCCAGCAGUUGAUUUGAGAGUGGUUAGAAUUUGCACCCAACUUAACAAGAACAAGGAUUUUUACAUGAAACUAGCUAAACAUAUUUUAGCUCUCUUCUCUGCGAAGGGGGAUGAUGCAUCGACGACCAUCUUCUUCUUCAAGCUGGUAUUGCCGCACUCAUUAUCCGGUAAGCUUGAGCUCGUCUCCGUCGAUCUUUCUAUCAUAUACCGAUGCUUAACCCUCAAAAUUCACAACCGAAAGGGAAGAAGAGAAAGGUUUGCAGUCGACUCUUCAACUCUGCAAUACGAAUUAUAUUCACUUACCAAACUACACAGGGGGAAGAAGCAGUGGCUCCGAUACUUUUUCUUUCUUUCUUUUUUUUCUUUGUUAUUUUUACUUAUUUUUUCCUUUUCUUUCCUCGGGAAACUUCUAACUCUUUCUUUCUUUUUUUUGAUGCUCUGUUUCUGCCGUUCACCUUCCAGUGGUGUACUACUUAGUCUAUGUACAAUUGGCCGAUCCAAGUCUCUUCUCCACCUACGAGGAAGAGAAGAGCUGGUGGGCGAGUAGCAGAGUCGGGCUCGGCGGCGAGGCCGAUGCAAACGGGAAAGAGAAGAAGAAGUCGUCGUAGUACGAGUCAGGGACGGCGGCGGCUGCCCACAUUUGAUCGUCGAUCGCGACCUGCAUCUCCUCCGGGACGAGCGGCGUGCGGCAGAGCGGGCACGUCCGCUGGUCGUGCUCCAGCCACCGGUCGAGGCAGCCGCGGUGGAACACGUGCCGGCAGUUGCUCAGCCUCCGGACCUCCUCCGACGCCUCGAAGUCAUAGAGGCAGACCACGCAGCUGCCCCCCACGUGCUGCCCCGCCGCCGCCAGCUCCUCGUACCUCACCACCGGAAGCGCCUCCUGGAUCAGCAUCGCCGACACCGACCGAAAUCGUGGCUGCUGGAGGUUGCCGUGGUGGUGGUGGUCGUGGUCGAGAUUGCGGUGGCCGGUGUUCUCAGGCCAAGGGGCGUCGGCGUCGAGGAGGUCGCCGAGGCCCACGGCGUCGAAGGCCCGGAAGAUGAAUCGCCGCACGUAGCCGAGGAUUAAGGCUAUGUGGAGGAGAAAUCUCGGCAGCAGCAGCUCCGAGUAGCCCACCGGGAACCCCAUGUUGAUCCAAGAAGAGUAUGGCAAGGCCUCUGAGCUGGGUUUCCUCUUCCUCUCCCCCCUCUUCCUGGUCUCCUGUUGUACGGUGGGACUUGAGCUUCGCAGAUCCAAGUCUUUCUCCUCCUGUUCUCCGCUGCUCUGCUCGAGUUGUACGAGCCAGACAGGAUGGAUAGCACCUCUGGAUGAUGCUCCGGGUGGGUGCAGAGAGAGAUCCGAUCACCUUCUCCUCUGGCCCGGGCGAUAUAUAUCGUGAGGAGGAGUUUGGUAGGGCUGUGAAUCUGGUGAUGGAACUGUUAUGGUUGGAGAGGUCAUUAACAAAUGAGAUAUUGCUGUGGAAUCA